CAAACCUCUUGGCUGCAAUUGUCGCUCCUUUACUCUUGCCUUUGAGGCAUAAGCAAUCAAACGAGGAAGCUUCUAAUUCAAGGAUGAUCCCCCUUGUGCUGGAGAAGGUGUUUGGAAUAUAUAUUUUUUCAAGCGCGGUGGGGAUGCAGAAUAGUAAAUGUGGCUUGGUCUUAGUAUUUGACACAAUUUCAUCAAUAAUGGGUCGACUCCUGUUGCUUGACCCUUCCCUUUCACUGUUAUCACUGGAAAGUGACCUUAUCCAACAGUGAUCUCCAAACUCCAGCUGGCCAAAAGUUCACUUUUGAGAACUUUUCAUCCCAUCACCAGUAUCAACAGCCCGAAACCAAAAUAAAACCUACCUGUAGGACUUAAGACGAAGAAGAAGAAGAAGAAGAAGAAGAAGAAGAAGAAGAAGAAGAAGAAGAAGACAGGUUACAAAAGAAUGAAAUGUUGAAGUACCUACUCAAGGAUAAAUUUGCUGUUUUUUCCUGUUUUUGUUUUCAAAGCACAUUGUGGUAGAAGUUUUGGAUGGCAGAAAUGUAAAACAUUCAAUACUUAAUAUUAUCUGCUUUAUGCAUGAUGUGAAUGGCUGUGCGACGCAGCUUUACUAUUCCCAAUUAAUUGUGGAAAAAUACUGCUUCCAUUAGUAGCACAGUAAAAGGUAGCCCAGCACUAAUGAUAAUAAAUUGCAGCAUUUUUAACAGAAAUGGAACAGUUCUUUAAAUUGCUUUUUGCCUUGCAGUAUGAGUGUGGUUGAAAAAUAAUUUAACCCUCCAUUCCUUUUGUGUGUGUCUUUAUUUUACAUGAUGCCAUUAUACCUAGCCCAUACAAUGUCAGGUUAAUAAUAAUGAUAUUGUAAUAUUAAUGCAAGUAGGGGGGGAACUAUACGUUUUGAUGAAUAAUGGCCCUGUGUUUUUGGAUCCCCUUGCCAAGUCAUAUUAAAAUGACAAAUAAUUGCAAUUGCUUUGCAGAGGAAUGAAACAGGCUCUGUAGUCAAAAAGCGCAUUAGGGACCAGGGGUGUCCAUUUGUUAUCCUUUGUCAGGAAAACAUGGUCCUUAAUGAAAGGGAAUGAAGGGACACUGAUUGAGGACAGUGACACUAAGCCUCUUUCUCGGCAAGAGCCCUGACGUGGGUAUUAAGAAGCAGAUUGAAAGGUUAAGGCACAACUUUGGAAACUCGAGAAUCUGAAAUAAUACACCUCUUGUCGCUUGCCAAAACUGCCAUUAAAAAAACCAAAAUAAAACCACAAGUUUGGGUGCCCUGAUCAUCAGAGGUCACAACGGACCAGAAAGCAGAUGGCAGGUACUGCAGAGAAAUGGCCCUUGAAAAACAGAAACAAAAUAGAGGUUGUUGUUUUUGUUUUUUUAAGAAGCCUUGUUUCCAUUUCCCUGCUUGUCUUCCUAAGUGCUUUUCCUCCCUUCGACUCAUUCUCUCCCUCACCACUGUUCCUGCAGCUAACAGCCUCAGCUGGGGCAUUUUCCUGAGUAUUAAUAAGUAUACUGGAGAGAGUUGAUGGUCUGAGGUCCACUCCAGCCUUACGGAACGGAAUCAGUCAUUUGAAGAGCAGAUCUUCAGCUGUGCUGAUUGCCGGUUGGUUGACUGGAGUCGACAGACACAUGCCAAUUUCUCAGCCCCCCAGGUGCUGGCUGGCCCCGCUGCUCCCCUCAGCCACUGCAGCUGAGCUCUCAUUUGCUUUCACCUGGCAAUAAGGACUCGGAUCCUGGCUGCCCCGGGCAGCGACAAAACUCCUCUCUUUCAAAGCUUUGCUUUGCCCUCUGCAGGGAACCAUCUGAAACCAAAACUCCAUGACCUGUGCAAAAGAGCUUUUCAAAAAUGGCAGCAGAUUCUGGGAGCACGUGGAAAAGAUGGUGGGUCUCUAUCUCCCUCGCUUCUCUAGUGUGACCUCUCUCUCCUGUGCCACCUGAGGCCAUAGCUGCACAUCUACCUGGCUUUGUAACCCCUCCAGCAGAUGAGCAAUGUGCUCUGCCAUCUCUGCUUCUGGUAGAUAUAGGAGCAUGGGAAGUUGCCAUAUACCAGCUUGGACUUUUUCUUUAACUGCUAGCCCACUGUUGUCUGCUCUGAAUGGCAGAAUCUCAGGCCAUCAGCUGCUACCGAACCCUUUUAACUGAAUAUGCCAGGGAUUGAAUGUGGGACUUUCUGCCACAGGAAUAGGGAAUCUUAGUCCUGGGGGUCCAAAUCCAGCCCUCCAGGCUUCUCUGCCUAGCCCCUGGAGCUCUCAGGCCACACUCCUCACCAACCUUGCUUCAUUUCCAUUUCCCACAAUGCCAUGGGCCAAUGCUAUGUGAAGGAAUUAUGGGAAAUGAUCAUGGUGGCUGUCUCUGCAGCCCACCUGGCACCCUUCAGAUGUUUUGGACUACAAUUCCUAUCAUCCCCAAGUAGCACAACCAUGUUGGCUGGGGAAGAUUGAAGUUGUAGUCCAAAACACCUGGAUGGCGCCAUGUUGGAGAAGGCCGAUGUAGGGAAUUGCAAUGGAUUGGGAAAACUGCUGGUUUAGUUAAUAUCUUAGAAAGACUUAAAUCCCACCUCCCUCCACACACACCUUGCUGAGGUUUUCUUGACAAUGACAAGAGGGACAAAUUGUUCAUAGAUCUUAUGUGGCAUCUCAGAUACAGUAUAUUUUCAGUUCUGUAAUUUUCAUGUGCAGUGCUUGGACUGGUAGGAGGAAGAGACAGAAUGCCAAUAUAUUGGUGAAUAAUGGGCUUAUUUUUCUUGUUCACAGUCUGAUCUUUCUGGACUUUCAUCCUCAGAACUCCUCGUUCUCGUGAGACUGGAGUAGAUGACCCAGUGAUGUGGACUGGAAUCUGUCUAAAUUUGAAGGAAUUCAGUGGUGGUGGUGGUGGUGGUGGGGAAAUGUAACAUUUAAAAGAUAAAGAAGGGGGGGUGUUCUUGAAAAAUACUACUGUCUUGUGUAACCCAUUAUUAUAUGUUAAUGAAUAUGUGCCGCAUUUACGCUGUUUUCCAGUUGGGCAAAAACUCUGAACUGAAGGAA